rnacentral:rRNA from 1 species
UACGUAGGUGACAAGCGUUGUCCGGAUUUACUGGGCGUAAAGAGCGCGCAGGCGGUCGUUCAAGUCGCGUGUGAAAGCCCCCGGCUCAACUGGGGAGGGUCACGCGAUACUGAUCGACUCGAAGGCAGGAGAGGGUAGUGGAAUUCCCGGUGUAGUGGUGAAAUGCGUAGAGUAUCGGGAGGAACACCAGUGGCGAAGGCGGACUACCUGGCCUGUUCUUGACGCUG